rnacentral:tRNA from 1 species
GGGAAUGUGGCUCAAGUGAUAGAGCACCUGCCUAGUAAGCAGAAGGCCCUGAGUUCAAACCCCAGUACUGCAG